ensembl:lncRNA
CCAGAAUGCAGCAGGAGUCCUGCUGCGCGGUGCCCUGGUCGGCAGAGAACAGGCCGUGCGUCCCCAGGUAGGGAGAGACGGCCUUCUGGAUCAGAGCCUCCAGACCCAGGUAGGAGUCUGUCACACCCCCGGCCUCAUGGACCCCCUGAUCCAGACGGACAGACACAGGGUAGACAGACGGGCAGACAGACGGGCACAGAGACAGGGCAGACAGACGGGCACAGAGACAGGGCAGACAUACAGACACGCAGAGAGACAGAGCAGACAGACGGGCACAGAGACAGGGCAGACAGACGGGCACAGAGACAGGGCAGACAGACGGGCACAGAGACAGGGCAGACAGACAGACACGCAGAGAGACAGGGCAGACAGACGGGCACAGAGACAGGGCAGACAGACAGAUAGGCAGAGAGAGACAGGGCAGACAGACAGACGGGCAGCGAGGCAAUGGGCAGACAGACAGAUAGGCAGAGAGACAGGGCAGACAGAAAGACAGACAGGCAGAGAGGAAAAGGGAAGACAGACAGAAAGACAGACAAAUGGGCAAUAACCAUUCAAAUAUAACCUGUAAGUGUUUGUAAUUUUUUACUCUAGCCAAGAUGCAGACACCUUAAAGAUGGUAAAUGACGGUACACAUCCGAGACUUUAUAGUUAACGUUAUCAUCAUGAAGUCGCACCACACAGGUUCACCAGCAGGGGUCGCCGUCAGGCCAUUUGUAUGUUCUCAAGUAAAGCAUUCAAUGACCCGAGGAUAUCUCUUCCUCAGGAGGGGGUUAGGGUUAGGGUUAGGGUUACUGGGACGCAGCCACAUGAAGACAGACAACUGGGCAGUCACCAUUAACCAUGAGCACAGGACUGGGAGGGGGGCACUGGGAGCGCAGCCACAUGAAGACAGACAACUGGGCAGUCACCAUUAACCAUGAGCACAGGACUGGGAGGGGGGCACUGGGAGCGCAGCCACAUGAAGACAGACAACUGGGCAGUCACCAUUAACCAUGAGCACAGGACUGGGGGAGGAGCUCUUUGAGGGAAAUGGAAAACAUAUGAAACCCAGGACAGUUUACAACUCCCCAUCACACACACACACACACACACACACACACACACACACACACACACACACACACACACACACACACACAAACACUGCGCUGAGUGACUUGUGAGCCCAUCCUGUCCAUCUGCUGUACACUACUCCCACUGUGCGUGCGUGCGUGCGUGCGUGCGUGCGUGCGUGCGUGUACCUGCAGUAUGAGCAGCAUCUGGGUGAUGGAGGGGGGCACGCGGGCGCGCGGCCGGCCCAGCGCCUCGUCCAGCUUCAGGUUCAGCGUGAUGACGUUCCUGAAGUGGAUCAGAGCCAGCUGCCGCACGGAGGGCUCCUUACCCUGCACACACACACACACACACACACACACACACACACACACACACACACACACAGUCAACACACGCACACACACACACACACACACACACACACACACACACACACAGUCAACACACGCACACACACGCGCACACACACACACACACACACACACACACACACACACACACACACACACACACACAGUCAACACACGCACACACACACACACGCGCACACACACACACACACACACACACACACACACACACACACACAUCACACACACACACACACACACACACAGUCAACACACGCACACACACACACACACGCACACACAAACACACACAGCCACCUCACACACACACACACACACACACACACACACACACACUCACACACACCUAGCAUUAAAGAAGUGUAGUAGUGAGUAGGGUUAAAGAAGUGUAGUAGUGAGUAGGGUUAAAGAGGUGUAGCAGUGAGUAACAUUAAAGAGGUGUAGCAGUUAGUUACAUUAAAGAGGUGUAGUAGUGAGUAACAUUAAAGAGGUGUAGCAGUGAGUAACAUUAAAGAGGUGCAGUAGUGAGUAACAUUAAAAAGGUGUAGUAGUGAGUAACAUUAAAGAGGUGUAGUAGUGAGUAGGGUUAAAGAGGUGUUGUAGUGAGUAGAAUUAAAGAGGUGUAGUAGUGAGUAACAUUAAAAAGGUGUUGUAGUGAUUAACAUUAAAGAGGUGUAGUAGUGAGCAACAUUAAAGAGGUGUAGUAGUGAGUAACAUUUAAGAGGUGUAGUAGUGAGUAGGGUUAAAGAGGUGUUGUAGUGAGUAACAUUAAAGAGGUGCAGUAGUGAGUAACAUUAAAGAGGUGUUGUAGUGAGUAACAUUAAAGAGGUGUUGUAGUGAGUAACAUUAAAGAGGUGUUGUAGUGAGUAACAUUAAAGAGGUGUAGUAGUGAGUAACAUUAAAGAGGUGUUGUAGUGAGUAACAUUAAAGAGGUGUUGUAGUGAGUAACAUUAAAGAGGUGUUGUAGUGAGUAACAUUAAAGAGGUGUUGUAGUGAGUAACAUUAAAGAGGUGUUGUAGUGAGUGGCAUUAAAGAGGUGUAGUAGUGCGUGCUGCUGCAGGACUGUUCCAUGCAGACCUGAACUGGGUAGAAGAUGGCCUGCAGCAUCGACAGGACGUCGCAGAAGAAG